GCCAGCUUGCUGGUGGAUUAGUGGCGAACGGGUGAGUAACACGUGAGUAACCUGCCCUUGACUCUGGGAUAAGCCUGGGAAACUGGGUCUAAUACCGGAUAUGACUCCUCAUCGCAUGGUGGGGGGUGGAAAGCUUUUGUGGUUUUGGAUGGACUCGCGGCCUAUCAGCUUGUUGGUGAGGUAAUGGCUUACCAAGGCGACGACGGGUAGCCGGCCUGAGAGGGUGACCGGCCACACUGGGACUGAGACACGGCCCAGACUCCUACGGGAGGCAGCAGUGGGGAAUAUUGCACAAUGGGCGCAAGCCUGAUGCAGCGACGCCGCGUGAGGGAUGACGGCCUUCGGGUUGUAAACCUCUUUCAGUAGGGAAGAAGCGAAAGUGACGGUACCUGCAGAAGAAGCGCCGGCUAACUACGUGCCAGCAGCCGCGGUAAUACGUAGGGCGCAAGCGUUAUCCGGGAAUUAUUGGGCGUAAAGAGCUCGUAGGCGGUUUGUCGCGUCUGCCGUGAAAGUCCGGGGCUCAACUCCGGAUCUGCGGUGGGUACGGGCAGACUAGAGUGAUGUAGGGGAGACUGGAAUUCCUGGUGUAGCGGUGAAAUGCGCAGAUAUCAGGAGGAACACCGAUGGCGAAGGCAGGUCUCUGGGCAUUAACUGACGCUGAGGAGCGAAAGCAUGGGGAGCGAACAGGAUUAGAUACCCUGGUAGUCCAUGCCGUAAACGUUGGGCACUAGGUGUGGGGGACAUUCCACGUUUUCCGCGCCGUAGCUAACGCAUUAAGUGCCCCGCCUGGGGAGUACGGCCGCAAGGCUAAAACUCAAAGGAAUUGACGGGGGCCCGCACAAGCGGCGGAGCAUGCGGAUUAAUUCGAUGCAACGCGAAGAACCUUACCAAGGCUUGACAUGGACCGGACCGCCGCAGAAAUGUGGUUUCCCCUUUGGGGCUGGUUUACAGGUGGUGCAUGGUUGUCGUCAGCUCGUGUCGUGAGAUGUUGGGUUAAGUCCCGCAACGAGCGCAACCCUCGUUCUAUGUUGCCAGCACGUGAUGGUGGGGACUCAUAGGAGACUGCCGGGGUCAACUCGGAGGAAGGUGGGGACGACGUCAAAUCAUCAUGCCCCUUAUGUCUUGGGCUUCACGCAUGCUACAAUGGCCGGUACAAAGGGUUGCGAUACUGUGAGGUGGAGCUAAUCCCAAAAAGCCGGUCUCAGUUCGGAUUGGGGUCUGCAACUCGACCCCAUGAAGUCGGAGUCGCUAGUAAUCGCAGAUCAGCAACGCUGCGGUGAAUACGUUCCCGGGCCUUGUACACACCGCCCGUCAAGUCACGAAAGUUGGUAACACCCGAAGCCGGUGGCCUAACCC
rnacentral:rRNA from 1 species